AGUGAACGCUGGCGGCGUGCCUAAUACAUGCAAGUCGAACGGAGUGGCGCCCGGGUGAGUAAUGUCUAGCUAAUCUGCCCUACACUAGAGGACAACAGUUGGAAACGGCUGCUAAUACUCUAUAGUUUAGGAUGAGGCCAUAUUUUAUCAUCUAGUUGGUGAGGUAAUGGCUCACCAAGGCUAUGACGCAUAACUGGUCUGUGAGGAUGAUCAGUCACACUGGAACGGAGACACGGUCCAGACUCCUACGGGAGGGAGCAGUAUGGAAUAUUGCUCAAUGGGGGAAACCCUGAAGCAGCAACGCCGCGUGGAGGCUGACACUUUUCGGAGCGUAAACUCCUUUUGUAAGGGAAGCGGUACCUAACGAGUAAGCACCGGCUAACUCCGUGCCAGCAGCCGCGGUAAUUC
rnacentral:rRNA from 1 species